rnacentral:rRNA from 1 species
GACAGAGGGGGCAAGCGUUGUUCGGAUUUACUGGGCGUAAAGGGCGCGUAGGCGGCGCGUAAAGUCGGACAUGAAAUCAUUAGGCUCAACCUAAUGGCUGUGUCCGAUACUUACGUGCUUGGAGUGCGGGAGAGGCAGCCGGAAUUCUCGGUGUAGCGGUGAAAUGCGUAGAUAUCGAGAGGAACACCGGUGACGAAGGUGGGUUGCUGGACCGACACUGACGCUGAGGCGCGAAAGCUAGGGGAGCAAACCGG